UACGGAGGAGCUAGCGUUGUUCGGAUAUACUGGGCGUAAAGCGCACGUAGGCGGCAUACUUAAGUCAGGGGGUGAAAUCCCGGGGCUCAACCCCGGAACUGCCUUUGAUACUGGGUAUCUCGAGUCCGGAAGAGGUGAGUGGAAAUUCCGAGUGUAGAGGUGAAAAUUCGUAGAUAUUCGGAGGAACACCAGUGCGAAGGCGGCUCAACUGUCCGGUCUGACGCUGAGGU
rnacentral:rRNA from 1 species